rnacentral:rRNA from 1 species
AUUGAACGCUGGCGGCAUGCCUUACACAUGCAAGUCGAACGGCAGCACGGGUGCUUGCACCUGGUGGCGAGUGGCGAACGGGUGAGUAAUACAUCGGAACAUGUCCUGUAGUGGGGGAUAGCCCGGCGAAAGCCGGAUUAAUACCGCAUACGAUCUACGGAUGAAAGCGGGGGACCUUCGGGCCUCGCGCUAUAGGGUUGGCCGAUGGCUGAUUAGCUAGUUGGUGGGGUAAAGGCCUACCAAGGCGACGAUCAGUAGCUGAUCUGAGAGGACGACCAGCCACACUGGGACUGAGACACGGACCAGGCUCCUACGGGAGGCAGCAGUGGGGAAUUUUGGACAGUGGGCGAAAGCCUGAUCCAGCAAUGCCGCGUGUGUGAAGAAGGCCUUCGGGUUGUAAAGCACUUUUGUCCGGAAAGAAAUCCUUGGCCCUAAUACGGUCGGGGGAUGACGGUACCGGAAGAAUAAGCACCGGCUAACUACGUG